rnacentral:tRNA from 1 species
UAUGGCAGAUAUUAUGUAAUGGA